rnacentral:lncRNA from 1 species
GUUUGAAUAGGAAUCGCAGUCCCAGCCAUGGUCUCUAUUUUCACAAAACUGUCGUCUUCCAGAAUGGAAACCAUGCAGAGGAGCUUACUGUUGUUUUUUUGUUUUUUCACUCAUCGUUCUCCUGCUACCCAUUCUAUUCGUUCUUGGUCAACAUUUCUAUCUAUGUCUUGGCUUUAAAAUCCAAUAUUAUAAAAACAUUACUUGGCCACAAUUUGUGACAGUUACUAUAAUUUAAAAGUGUUUUUGGAAUGAGGGGGGUGGGCUGUGUCACAAUACAUUAAGUAGCCUAAACGCAGUGUGUUAUUGUUACAGCCAGUUCCAGUUACCGGACUCCUCGGACUUGGAGAGGAGCUAGCGGUGCACCUUGUUAUGCCAUCGAUCAAGAGUAACUGAGGUUUCUGAUGUCCAGUGCUUUCAGUGUGUCUCAGAUGGCAGACAUUCUACAUGUUUCCCGAUCGACAGUCAAAUGUCGUCUAAGACACUUCAAUCUGUCCACACACAGAGAUGCGUACAAAGCUCUCCCUCGCCCUCCAUUUGGUAAAUCCGACCACAACUCUAUCCUCCUGAUUCCUGCUUACAAGCAAAAAUUAAAGCAGGAAGCACCAGUGACACGGUCUAUAAAAAAAAAUGGUCAGAUGAAGCAGAUGCUAAACUACAGGACUGCUUUGCUAUCACAGACUGGAACAUGUACCGGGAUUCUUCCGAUGACAUUGAGAAAUACACCACAUCAGUCACUGGCUUUAUCAAUAAGUGCAUUGAGGACGUCGUCCACACAGUGACUGUACCUACAUAACCCAACCAGAAGCCAUGGAUUACAGGCAACAUUUGCACUGAGCUAAAGGGUAGAGCUGCCGCUUUCAAGGUGUGGGACUCUAACCCGGUAUCUUACAAGAAAUCCCGCUAUGCCCUGCGACGAACCAUCAAACAGGCAAAGCAUCCAUACAGGGCGAAGAUUGAAUCAUACUACACCGGCUUCGACGCUCGUCGGAUGUGGCAGGGCUUGCAAACUAUUACAGACUACAAAGGGAAGCACAGCCGCGAGCUGCCCAGUGACAUGAGCCUACCAGAUGAGCUAACUCACUUCUAUUGUGAUAACAUGCGUCUUGAUGAGAAGUGUAGGGGUCAGGCGCAGGAGAGCAGGGAUGUCUGAGAAGCGUGUUUAAUAAUAUAGUCCACCAAUACAAAACGGCACAGACAAAAAUCCCAAAACUACGCUCUCGAAUACUCAGAAACUUGUGCAAACGCACGGAGGAACAAACACAGUUCCGACACUUUACAUACACGUGCGUAAUAGCGAAAAAACAACAAACAUCAAAUACGAUCGAGCGCAAUACACACAAGUCUAAUCCUGCACGAAUUACGGCAGGUAACAGGUGCCCUAUAUACCCACAGAAAUCAAAGCAAUUGAAAACCAGGUGUGAAAAGGAACACAGACAAAACAACUAGAAAAAGAAAAAGGGAUCGGUAGCGGAUAGUAGACCGGCGACGCCGAGCGCCACCCGAACAGGGAGAGAAGUUACCUUCGGUAGAAGUCGUGACAUCUAUGCUCGCUUCGAGGCAAGCAACACUGAGGCAUGCAUGAGAGCAUCAGCUGUUCUGGAUGACUUUGUGAUCAUGCUCUCCAUAGCCGACGUGAGUAAGACCUUUAAACAGGUCAACAUACACAAGGCUGCGGGGCCAGACGGAUUACCAGGACGUGUUCUCCGGGCAUGUGCUGACACACUGGCAGAUGUCUUCACUGACAUUUUCAACAUGUCCCUGAUUGAGUCGGUAAUACCAACAUGUUUCAAGCAGACCACCAUAGUCCCUGUGCCCAAGAACACAAAGGCAACCUGCCUGAAUGACUACAGACCCAUAGCACUCAUGUCCGUAGCCAUGAAGUGCUUUGAAAGGCUGGUAAUGGCUCACAUCAACACCGUAUCCCAGAAACUCUAGACCCACUCCAAUUUGCAUACCGCCCAAACAGAUCCACAGAGGAUGCAAUCUCUAUUGCACUCCACGCUGCCCUUUCCCAGCUGGACAAAAGGAACACAUAUGUGAGAAUGCUGUUCAUUGACUACAGCUCAGUGUUUAACACUCAAAGCUCAUCACUAAGCUAAGGAACCUGGGACUAGACACCUCCCUCUGCAACUGGAUCCUGGACUUCCAGACAGACCGCCCCCAGGUGGUGAGGGUAGGUAGCAACACAUCUGCCACGCUGAUCGUCAACACUGGAGCUCCCCAGGGGUGCAUGCUCAGUGUCUUCCUGUACUCCCUGUUCACACACGACCGCAUGGCCAGGCACGACUCCAACACCAUCAUUACGUUUUCUGACGACACAACAUAGGCCCGAUCACCGACAACGACGAGACAGCCUAUAGGGAGGAGGUCAGAGACCUGGCCGGGUGGUGCCAGAAUAACAACAUAUUCCUCA